rnacentral:snoRNA from 1 species
AUGAUCAUAUUUUAUAGGAUCACUUCUAUAGUGCGAUUGCCGGGUUUCUCGCCAAGAUUCUCGGAAUAUGUUCAACCACGAUGAGGACUGUUAGUGUAAUCCUCUGAGCGGGAAGCGGCUCUCAAGUUGUGCUUAAGAGUUUUGAUGACCGUUUUACUCGUUACCGAUGUUAGAGGGAGGAUUGUACAGGCUGAGUGGU